rnacentral:lncRNA from 1 species
AGGGGGGGUUACGGAUUACUCUUACUCAUAGCCACAAAACGCUUGAUCGAAACGAUGUUUGGAUAUAUGAAAGACAAACUCGCAGCACUGACUGCUCCUAUGGCCAACGCUUACGCAAACGCCGUGGUUUUCAACAAAAUCGAAAACUUAGUCGCGACCUUCCGCCACAGGAAGAGCACUAUAACAAGCUCGCGAUUCCUCCUGUAAACAAGAAGGGAAACGAUAAAUCUUAUCAAAACCUCGUAAACAAAUCUCGAUGCAUAAGGGUUUUACCAAAACACGUU